rnacentral:lncRNA from 1 species
AGAUCGGAUGAGGUUUGUCCCUCCUUUUGCAGUGCCUCCUGGAGACUUGUGACCUCGGUGAUCUUCUCCUCGAGGCGGGCGGCCUCGAUCAGGCGACCUUCCUCUGCCCGGGCUACCUCCCUCUUGGCGAUCUUCAUCGCCUCGACGUUGGCGAUGAGCUGGUGUCCAAUCUACAAAAAAGACUGGGGAGUCAAUAUAAAGGCUAAGGAGUAAACUAAGUAAAGAAGCAAGAAGAAAGAAAAAGUGAAUUGACCUACCUUAAGAAA